rnacentral:rRNA from 1 species
GACCAACGCUGGCGGCGUGCUUACACAUGCAGUCUGAACGAUGAAGCUGGAGCUUGCUCCGGUGGAUUAGUGGCGAACGGGUGAGUAACACGUGAGCAAUCUGCCCUUCACUCUGGGAUAACUACGGGAAACUGUAGCUAAUACCGGAUACGAUCCCUAGGGGCAUCCCUGGGGAUGGAAAGAAUUUCGGUGAAGGAUGAGCUCGCGGCCUAUCAGCUAGUUGGUGAGGUAAUGGCUCACCAAGGCGACGACGGGUAGCCGGCCUGAGAGGGUGACCGGCCACACUGGAACUGAGACACGGUCCAGACUCCUACGGGAGGCAGCAGUGGGGAAUAUUGCACAAUGGGCGAAAGCCUGAUGCAGCAACGCCGCGUGAGGGAUGAAGGCCUUCGGGUUGUAAACCUCUUUUAGCAGGGAAGAAGGGUAACUGACGGUACCUGCAGAAAAAGCACCGGCUAACUACGUGCCAGCAGCCGCGGUAAUACGUAGGGUGCAAGCGUUGUCCGGAAUUAUUGGGCGUAAAGAGCUCGUACGCGGUUUGUCGCGUCUGCUGUGAAAAAUCCAAUGCUCAACAUUGGACCUGCAGUGGGUACGGGCAGACUAGAGUGCGGUACGGGAGGACGGAAUUCCUGGUCGUA